GAUGAACGCUGGCGGCGUGCUUAACACAUGCAAGUCGAACGGUGAAGCAGGAGCUUGCUCCUGUGGAUCAGUGGCGAACGGGUGAGUAACACGUGAGCAAUCUGCCCUGGACUCUGGGAUAAGCGUUGGAAACGACGUCUAAUACCGGAUACGAGGCGUGGGGGCAUCCCCAACGCCUGGAAAGAACUUCGGUCCAGGAUGAGCUCGCGGCCUAUCAGGUAGUUGGUGAGGUAACGGCUCACCAAGCCUACGACGGGUAGCCGGCCUGAGAGGGUGACCGGCCACACUGGGACUGAGGCACGGCCCAGACUCCUACGGGAGGCAGCAGUGGGGAAUAUUGCACAAUGGGCGCAAGCCUGAUGCAGCAACGCCGCGUGAGGGACGACGGCCUUCGGGUUGUAAACCUCUUUUAGCAGGGAAGAAGCGAAAGUGACGGUACCUGCAGAAAAAGCACUGGCUAACUACGUGCCAGCCGCCGCAGUAAAAC
rnacentral:rRNA from 1 species